rfam:Clostridium sp. CAG:921 genomic scaffold, scf102
GCAACUGUAGCUCAACUGGAUAGAGCAUUUGGCUACGAACCAAAAGGUUGCAGGUUCAAGUCCUGUCAGUUGCA